rnacentral:rRNA from 1 species
AGGACGAACGCUGGCGGCGUGCUUAACACAUGCAAGUCGAACGAUGACGAUGGUGCUUGCACCGUCUGAUUAGUGGCGAACGGGUGAGUAACACGUGAGUAACCUGCCCUCCUCUUCGGGAUAACCGCCGGAAACGGUGGCUAAUACCGGAUAUGAAUGCCUGCCGCAUGGUGGGUGUUGGAAAGAUUUAUCGGUGGGGGAUGGACUCGCGGCCUAUCAGUUUGUUGGUGAGGUAAUGGCUCACCAAGGCGAUGACGGGUAGCCGGCCUGAGAGGGCGACCGGCCACACUGGGACUGAGACACGGCCCAGACUCCUACGGGAGGCAGCAGUGGGGAAUAUUGCACAAUGGGCGAAAGCCUGAUGCAGCGACGCCGCGUGGGGGAUGACGGCCUUCGGGUUGUAAACCUCUUUCAGCAGGGAAGAAGCGAGAGUGGCGGUACCUGCAGAAGAAGCGCCGGCUAACUACGUGCCAGCCGCGGC